CUGCAGCCCGAGUGGUGAUCGAUUUUAUUGGGCCUAAAGCGUCCGUAGCCGGUCUAGUAAAUCCUUGGAUAAAUCGUACAGCUUAACUGUACGGCUCCCGGGGAGACUGCCAGACUUGGGACCGGGAGAGGUCAGAGGUACUCCAGGGGUAGGGGCUAAAUCCUGUAAUCCUUGGGGGACCACCAGUGGCGAAGGCGUCUGACUAGAACGGAUCCGACGGUAAGGGACGAAACCCUGGGGCGCAAACCGGAUUAGAUACCCGAGUAGUCC
rnacentral:rRNA from 1 species